rnacentral:rRNA from 1 species
ACGAACGCUGGCGGCGUGCUUAACACAUGCAAGCCGAACGGUGAAGCGCCUUCCUUUUUGGUGGGUGUGGAUGAGUGGCGAACGGGUGAGUAACACGUGAGUAACCUGCCCCCUUCUUCUGGAUAACCGCAUGAAAGUGUGGCUAAUACGGGAUAUUCUGGGUCUGUCGCAUGAUGGGUCUGGGAAAGAUAUUGUUUCGGUGGGGGAUGGGCUCGCGGCCUAUCAGCUUGUUGGUGGGGUGAUGGCCUACCAAGGCGGUGACGGGUAGCCGGCCUGAGAGGGUGGACGGUCACACUGGGACUGAGACACGGCCCAGACUCCUACGGGAGGCAGCAGUGGGGAAUAUUGCACAAUGGGCGCAAGCCUGAUGCAGCGACGCCGCGUGAGGGAUGGAGGCCUUCGGGUUGUGAACCUCUUUCGCCAGUGAAGCAGGCCUGCCUCGUUUGUGGGUGGGUUGACGGUAGCUGGAUAAGAAGCGCCGGCUAACUACGUG